AGAGCCUGGGUCAGGGGUGCCUUGGGGGUAAGACUGAGGAAAGAGGAUAGAAAGAGCUGUUUCUACUUUCCUGGCCUCAGGCUGGGUGUCUUUGAGGUCUCCUUAGCUUCCUAGUACCUGAGAUCCCUGGAAAAGAGUGGUACAAAUAUAACCCUGUCUGACAUUGAAAGCAGAGCACUCUUUAGGCUCUCCUGACAAACACACCAGAAUCCCAUGGUUUGCUGGAUUUCUCCCAUUUCUCUCUCCUCUUAUGUAGCCUCUGACAAGAAAUUUAGAGAUCAGCUCUUUCAGUAACAUCUCUACCCAAGAGCCUGGACCCCUUUGGGGUGAAUGAUGCCUCAGAAACCCUGAGAUAGAAUUUCCAAGCCAUCACUUCAAAUUACUGCAUAACUGUGUUCAUGGAAGUAGUAAUGAUGAUGCUAAUACAUAUGUGGAAAAGGAAGAAAAGGAAGAAUCUGGGCAACUCAACUCAAUGAGGAGCUGGGCACCAGGACAAGCACUUCCCAUGCUGUUCAGCUUGCUGAUGCUGCCCUAUGAGGUAAGAGCUUGACUGUCCCAUACUACAGAGCUCACAUGGCAGAGGCCACCAGAAUUCA
rnacentral:lncRNA from 1 species